rnacentral:tRNA from 1 species
UUUUAAUAGCUUAUAAAUAAGAGCGCAGCACUGAAGAUGCUGAGGAGAUAUACUUAUCUUAAAAUA